GACGAACGCUGGCGGCGUGCUUAACACAUGCAAGUCGAACGAUGAAGCUGGAGCUUGCUCCAGCGGAUUAGUGGCGAACGGGUGAGUAACACGUGAGCAAUCUGCCCUUGACUCUGGGAUAACUGCGGGAAACUGUAGCUAAUACCGGAUACGGGAUUUGAAGGCAUCUUCAGAUCUGGAAAGAAUUUCGGUCAAGGAUGAGCUCGCGGCCUAUCAGCUAGUUGGUGAGGUAAUGGCUCACCAAGGCGACGACGGGUAGCCGGCCUGGGAGGGUGACCGGCCACACUGGAACUGAGACACGGUCCAGACUCCUACGGGAGGAAGCAGUGGGGAAUAUUGCACAAUGGGCGAAAGCCUGAUGCAGCAACGCCGCGUGAGGGAUGAAGGCCUUCGGGUUGUAAACCUCUUUUAGUAGGGAAGAAGCGAAAGUGACGGUACCUACAGAAAAAGCACCGGCUAACUACGUGCCAGCAGCCGCAGUAA
rnacentral:rRNA from 1 species